rnacentral:rRNA from 1 species
GAUGAACGCUGGCGGCGUGCCUAAUACAUGCAAGUCGAGCGAACGGACGAGAAGCUUGCUUCUCUGAUGUUAGCGGCGGACGGGUGAGUAACACGUGGAUAACCUACCUAUAAGACUGAGAUAACUUCGGGAAACCGGAGCUAAUACCGGAUAAUAUUUUGAACCGCAUGGUUCAAAAGUGAAAGACGGUCUUGCUGUCACUUAUAGAUGGAUCCGCGCUGCAUUAGCUAGUUGGUAAGGUAACGGCUUACCAAGGCAACGAUGCAUAGCCGACCUGAGAGGGUGAUCGGCCACACUGGAACUGAGACACGGUCCAGACUCCUACGGGAGGCAGCAGUAGGGAAUCUUCCGCAAUGGGCGAAAGCCUGACGGAGCAACGCCGCGUGAGUGAUGAAGGUCUUCGGAUCGUAAAACUCUGUUAUUAGGGAAGAACAUAUGUGUAAGUAACUGUGCACAUCUUGACGGUACCUAAUCAGAAAGCCACGGCGAACUACGU